rnacentral:tRNA from 2 species
GCCACCCUAGCUCAGUCGGUAGAGCAACUGAUUCGUAAUCAGUAGGUCGCCGGUUCGACUCCGGCGGGUGGCU